rnacentral:rRNA from 1 species
GCGGCGUGCUUUAUACAUGCAAGUCAAGGAGAACGUUUUCUUCGGAAAGCUAUUAAACUGGCGAACGGGUGAGUAACGCGUAGGCAACCUGCCCUAGAGAUUGGGAUAACAUCGGGAAACCGGUGCUAAUACCGAAUAAUGCAGCGGAUCCUUCGGGAUACAGUUGUUAAAGCGGGCUUCGGCUCGCACUUUAGGAUGGGCCUGCGUCCGAUUAGCUUGUUGGUAAGGUAACGGCUUACCAAGGCAAUGAUCGGUAGCUGGUCUGAGAGGAUGAUCAGCCACACUGGGAUUGAGAUACGGCCCAGACUCCUACGGGAGGCAGCAGUAGGGAAUUUUGCGCAAUGGGGGAAACCCUGACGCAGCAACGCCGCGUGACCGAUGAAGCUUCUAGGAGCGUAAAGGUCUGUCGUAAGGGAAGAAAAGUUUAGAUGUAAAUAAUGUUUGAACCUGACGGUACCUUACAAGAAAGCACCGGCUAA